UAUAAGUAUGUGUGUGCAUUUAUUUAUUUAUUCAUUUAUUUAUUUUUCUGAGAACCUGGAUAAAUCAGGAUUGUCUGGCAGAGAUCUUUCCAGUCUUUGCUUAACAAUGUGCUGUCAGCUCAAGGAAAGUGAUUAUAUUAUUUUGUCCAAUUUUUAUCAGUGGGAAAAUCAAAGUAUGUCCCAUAAUGAGAAACAAACAUGUUUUGUUUAUGGUGUACAUAUUUAGCUAUGUUUAUCUUUCUUUAGAUCAGUCAGGGCUUGUUUCAUUUACUAUUUUAGAUUUAUAAGCAGUUAUAGAAAAACACAAGAAAUUAUUAUUGAUGAAGUAUUUCUGCUACACAUUCAUUUUCAUUUCAAAAUGAUGAUUCUUUAAAAUUAUGGGUUUUUUCUCAUCCUAAUGUGAACUAAAACCAAAUGUCAGAACAUAAUGUUUCACUACAUUUUUCUUCGUUAUAUUCCAUCAAAUGUAGUUAAUGAAAGAAACAGUGGAAUUGCACCUAGAGAAUAUUUUAAAGCUGAUACCCAGGAAGUCCUUAAGUUUUGCACUGUUAGUAUCAUGGCGAGAGAAAUGCUCUCUGUCCGAGGACUAGCCAGGAAGCAAAAUGUAAACUAGUAGUUAACCUUGGUUAUAAUUCCUUCUUACAGAAAUGUUUGCACCUUUUUGUAAUUAUUUAUUAAAAAAAAAAAAAAAAAAAAAAAGAAGAAGUAAAAAAAAAGUAACAGGAAUCUACUUACAAAGUUAUUUUUCAGAGAUGAACUUUACUUCUGUGGAAAAUAAACAUGGUCAGUUAGCUUUUCCCUCACUGACCUGGUCAUCCACUAUAAUAAUAAAUAUUUCCAUACAGUUCUUUUUUUUUUUUUUUCAGAAGUGGUUCCUCAGCCUCAUGAAGUUGUUUACAGAGAGAAACUGCAGGAAGAAAAAGGGAUCCUGUAAUGUAGGAAGACAGUAUGUGAAAAAAUUGUGGGGAAGAGAAAGGAAAGAACAGUCACACAGGUAUAAGUCUUUCUAUAGUGAAUCACAAAAUCACAGGAGUUGGAAGGGAUCUCAAGACGUCAUUGAGUCCAACCCCUCUGCUAAAGCAGGUUCCCUACAAUAGGUCACACAGGUAGGUUUCCAGAUGCAUCUUGAAUAUCUUAAUGGAAGGAGACUCCAUAGCCUCUGUGGGCAACCUGUUCCAGCGCUCCAUCACCCUUACUGUAAAGUUCUUCUCCAUGAUAGUAUGGAACUUCCUAUGUUCGAGUUUUAUGCUAUCACUCCUUGUCAUAUCGAUGGACAUCACCAAGAAGAGCCUGGCCUCAUCCAUUUGCCUUCCACCCUCCUUGUAGACACUUAUAAACAUUAACCAGAUCCUCCCUCAAUCUUCUUUUCCCCAUGCUGAACAGACCCAGUUUAUUCAGCCUUUCCUCAUAAAGGAAAUGCUCCAGGCCCUUUAUCAUCUUUGCGACCCACUGCUGGACUCCCUUUAGGAGUUCCCUGUCUUUUUAGAACUGGAGACCCCAGAUCUGGACACACUAUUCUAAAUGUGGCCUCAUCAGGGAAGAAUAGAGAGGGAAGAUAACCUCCCUUGACUUCUUGGCCACACUCUUUGUAAUAGCUCUGUCUGCUAUCCUGUCCCUCUUCUGUUUUCAACUCCAGAGCCUUGUAUCAGUUGUCCAGGGGGACAGCAGGGCUUGGCGGAUGAUACCUCCUUCUGCUCAAGCAAAUGAGGAUCCAUCCUUCUCCACGCUGGAUGUUAUCAUAUCCUUUAUCCUCCAGGUGGGAAACUGGUUUAGUUUCUACCCCAAGCAGGGAUUUAGGAGGGGACUGUUGGUCUGCAUGUAUCAGUUCAGACCUCUUUUUAUCCACCUACGUCUCUGAUUCAUGAUGGUCACCAUGCUGGUACUGACAGGGAGCUCUCCCCUCCUGAUGUCAGAUGAGAAAAGCAGUGUGCCCUGCGCAAACACCACACCACACACUUCUGCCUUUUGCCAGUUCUAACUACAGUCCUUGGUCACUUCACUCCAUGGGGGCUGCCUCUGUAUCUGUGGGGUGCAGCCCCACUGCUGUUGGCCCUGCCAUGCCAUGUCAGAGCGCUGCAGUCAUGAGCAGGGCAAUGG
ensembl:lncRNA